AAAGGGAGCUGGAAAGAAUUGGACUUGGAAAUCCAAAGAACUCAUCAAAAUAUAUUUCGAGGUCUCUGUCUCUUGCUCAACUCAAAAACCAUAUUUGUCAGCAAUAUCCAAAUAUUGAAGAGGAUCCAACCUGCUAUUCUCAAGAAAAUGC